rnacentral:rRNA from 1 species
GAUCCUGCUCAGAUUGAACGCUGGCGGCAGGCCUAACACAUGCAAGUCGAACGGUAACAGGAAGAAGCUUGCUUCUUUGCUGACGAGUGGCGGACGGGUGAGUAAUGUCUGGGAAACUGCCUGAUGGAGGGGGAUAACUACUGGAAACGGUAGCUAAUACCGCAUAACGUCGCAAGACCAAAGAGGGGGACCUUCGGGCCUCUUGCCAUCGGAUGUGCCCAGAUGGGAUUAGCUAGUAGGUGGGGUAACGGG